rnacentral:tRNA from 1 species
GGCUUUAUAUUCAAUUAUGAGUUUUGAUUGCAAGUCUUAAAGUGGUGUAUCCUUUAGCCU